rnacentral:lncRNA from 1 species
UCGCCAAUGCUCUGAAUCCUCUGCAACCAUGACCCAAGGACUGGGGGCUGCAGUGGAGAAGGUGUGUGACAGCUGUAGUGCAGCCUGUGUGGCCAGAAACUCGACCUGGUUUUGGCCCUUGGAGGCAGUACCCAGAGAGGCAGUGGUUGCUGUGGGUGGCCUGUGAGACACAGGUGCCCGCUGUGGCUGCUGGUGGCAAGAGUACGUUGGAUCUCCACAUACCUAACAGCAAAGCACAAAGUAUGUAUCCUGCUUUCU